UACGGAGGGUGCAAGCGUUGUUCGGAAUCAUUGGGCGUAAAGCGUGCGCAGGCGGUUAUGUAAGACAGGUGUGAAAUCCCCGGGCUUAACCUGGGAAUUGCAUUUGUGACUGCAUGGCUAGAGUGUGUCAGAGGGGGGUAGAAUUCCACGUGUAGCAGUGAAAUGCGUAGAUAUGUGGAGGAAUACCGAUGGCGAAGGCAGCCCCCUGGGAUAACACUGACGCUCAUGCACGAAAGCGUGGGGAGCAAACAGG
rnacentral:rRNA from 1 species